rnacentral:rRNA from 1 species
AUGCAAUAGAUCCCAUCAGAACAAUGCAGUUAAGCGCGCUUGGGCUAGAGUAUUACUGGGAUGGGUGACCUCCCGAGAAGUCCUAGUGUUUCACCCU